CAUUAAGAAGCUAUAUAAGCAU
rnacentral:tRNA from 1 species